CCCAUCCUUGCUUCUUCUAGGAGACUGAUAUCCUCUGCCAAUGUUAACAAAACCAGAAGUAGCUCCUUGUUCCAUCCAACUAUCAACUCUCUUGCGUGCUUCCUCAACCAACCGAACAAUACCUGUCUUAUCAGUUGACUUUAGGUUGUUUUCUUUCAUCUCCGACGACUCUGAUGCAGUUUCUCCUCCAUCAGAAAAAUUUUCCAACGUGGAACUUGAGAAAAACCCAGAAUAGAUAGAAGUCGAACCCAACUUAAUUUUCACCUUGUAGGAUCUUCCAUACGAUCCUAAAGUAAUCACUUCCGAAACAUCAAAAGGACUUGCCACCCUAACCAGAAUUUUCACAACCGAGAGAUCCUCCUUGUUUUUAGUGGAAUCCUGAAUACCUUCCACAGUCCCCCACUUCCCCUCUAGCUUUUCUAAAAAAGCUUCUUUCCAACAUAGUAAUGGAACACCAAAGAGCUCCACCAAACAAAAAGCCAUUGCCACAUCUCCUUCAUUCAACAGAGGUGCCAAUCUGUCAAAACAACAACAUAACAACUCACUUCUUUUCAUUCAAGCCUCCUUCAUCUCCUCAUUUGACUUGAAUAUAAUAACACAAGAUUUCCAAAUGUAACCCUAGCUGGCAAUCUGAACUUCGAUACCUUCUUUAGCCAAAGCACUCUGCACCAACUCCAAUUCAAACGCUUGUUUUACUAUGCCCGUCAGUGAUCUUUUCACCCAGGAUGAAUGAUCAGAAGGAAUAUGCAUCUCCCAAAUAUUCUUCUUUCCUUUCCCUUUUAUGAAGCAUCAUUUUAUUCUCUAUAUCUUUCAAAGCUCUUCUCUGCGGGAUGUUCAUCAUCAAGGCAUCCUUGUAUGACCUAUCAUCCCUUAUGCUUCUCGUGAGCUGAAGUCUCUCGGUUGGAUUGGAAUUUUCUUCUGUAAUCUUCUUUGAAGAACCAGUUAGAGCCUUAGAUGACCCUACAUACCUUGAUCGAUCUUUCUGUUAUUUUGCAACUCCAACAAAAACUUUCCUCCCAUCUAUCCAUGACCCGUUUAAAUUUUCGACUGCCUUUCUCAUUCCAACUUCAUUAUCAAACUGAACGAAGGCAAACGAGUAGGAUUUAUACUUUGGUUUGUUCGUCUCAUUUGGAAUGAAAACUCUAACCACAUGACCUUGGGAUGAAAAUAAUUCUGUUAACUCUCUUCUAGAGACUCUCUUGCUAAGAUUAUCAACGAACACCGUCCAACUCACGUCGGAGGAGGACUGACCUUUCUCUCUGUCUCUCUCUACUUUCUUUACUCUCUCACUCAUGUUUUUACCUGUUCUAUUUUGCAAUAUAUCUUGAAUGACACAACAUCAAAAUUGCCACACCAGUUUCAAAAGUCUAAUUAUAAUGAUGCUUAAGUGGAACAAAAUUAGGCAUAAGAAUAGAUUUCUCCUAUUUGGAACUUUCUUUUAUUUUUUUUUCUUAGUAUCGACUACCAAAAGGUUUGUUUUGUAUGCUGUAUUUGAAAUUGAUGCUCUAGGAUUGGUCCCUUGAUUUUCGUUGAAGACUAGUUUUCUUCUUUUUUUUGCCAUGGGCAGCAUAAAUUAUGGCGUAACUCUCUGUUUUGGCCUGAUGAUGGUAUGUGCCGUUUGCAGGAUUGUACUAUUUGUGAAUUUCCAGAAGGUGAAUUCCCUGAAUCAUUUAAGAAGCCAUACCAUUUCAGCCUUCCAUCAGAUGACCUUAAGUGCCAAGAAGGAAAACCAGAGGCCAGUGUUGACCACACGCUAGAUGGUAAAGCUUUUAGAGGGUGGACAGAAACAUAUAACCCCUGGACAUAUGAUGAUGAGACAGAUAAUUUGAGCAGCAUGGUGGCGUUUUUCAAUCAUUGAACAAUUUCAUAUUGCAGCUGAUAGGACAUAUGUGAACCUUCAACUGAACCCGGAGCUCUACACUGGCUAUACUGGUCCAUCAGCUAGAAGGAUAUGGGAUGCUGUCUACUCGGACAACUGUCCCAAAUAUCCAGCUGAAGAAUUAUGCCAAGAAGAAGAAAUACUGUACAAAUUAAUAUCCGUGGGGCCAUAAUCUUGACAUACUGUAUAACCGGGUUUUAAGAUAUCCCAAUCGUGUGCAAAACUUGUACAUCACAUUCCUCUUUGUUCUCCAAGCUGUGACAAAGGCAACUGAUUACCUGGAACAAGCUGAAUACAAUUCUGGUAAAGCAACCGAGGACCUAAAAACACAGUCCCUAAUGCGACAGCUAAAUUGCAAGCUGCGUGCCCACUUCCACUUGAUGAAGCUCGACUAAGGAAAGGACAAAGAGGACCUGAGCUGAAACAGAAAAUACAAAGUCAUUUAAAAAAUAUCAGGUUUCUCUAAUUUCCUAGUUGGUGACGCGUUUAAAAAGAUGCAAUUUCUUAUUCCUACAUUACGUUAUUGAACAUAUAAAAUGAGAAACCAUAUUUACUUAAAACCAUACUUUUAUUUGCACAUUAAGACAUGUCUGAAUUCAUCCAAACUUUGACAUUCUCAAGGGGAAAUGAAAUCUGAAAUUGUAAUUUUGACUCUCUUUAGGUUCUUGGUAGCCCUCACUUGCAAAGGAAUUUUAAGGGACUGUUGCCACUUUCUCUUUCAUUUCUGACCUCUGAUAUUUGUGCCACUGGUUUAAUCAAGUAUUUGAAUGAUAUGACAAUUGUACUUGGUUUUUCAGUGCAUUGAUGGACUGUGUAGGGUGUGCGAAAUGUCGACUUUGGGGAAAGCUUGAGGUUCUUGGUCUUGGAACUGCGUUGAAGAUACUGUUCUCUUCUUCACUUGCAUCAGACAAUAAAUAUUUCCUACUUUUGACUUUCCAUUUUGGGUUUUGAUUUCUUUCUAGUGUAUGGUUAAUAUCAAGGAUCCUUUUCCAACUCUAUUGGCUAGAAUUAUUUCUUGAAGAACUUUUGAAUUUAUUGAAACUCUACCUACAAAAUGGCAUCAUAUAUAAUGCGUGGGAAGAACUAGAAACAUUUAAAGUAACUUCAUUUUCUGUUGCAGUUGGGCUGUUUCUAAUUAUUCAUUUAUAUUUUCGUAUUGUGGACAUAUCUAGGUUGCCAUUAGCAACCAGUUUUUUGCAGGUAAUGAUAACAAAAGCAUGAGAAUUCAGCACCAAAGAAUCACAACUUUCUUUCAAAAGCAAGAAUAGGGUUCUGGAAGCAUAAUACAAUCAGUGGUUUGGUUAUAGUUGCAUAAUACUAAGAAAGUAGUCGAAACUUGAAGUGUAAUUGAGAGUUUUUUUUCUCUCUUUGUUUCCUCUGUGUUCAAUUGAUACAAAUUCAAAUACCAUGGUUCACAUUUACAUAUACUCGGUUGCUUUUACAUGAAUUCCUUGAAAACGGUUCCCUCUCUUGUACCCCUCUUUUCUGUUUUAGGAUGAAUGAUGAAAUAGUUGUUUAUUUUCUUGAUUUUUUGCAGAAACACAGGUAUAGUGGAAUUGUAGAGGAUUGUUGUUGUGAUUAUGAGACAGUUGACCAUCUUAAUGGAGUAUUACAUCCAAUACUACAGGACCUUGUUAAAACCCCAUUUUCCCAGUACUUCAAGGGACCAGAGAGCUUUCCAUCAUAAAUGGUUAUGUAUUACAGUUAAUUUCAAGAAACUUACGGAUAAAUGGUAUGGUAAAUAGCCGGUUUAGCAGUCAUAACAUUCUGUUCAGAAAUUAUAGUAUUUUGACUUAUAUUGUUUUCAAUACAAUACUCAUACUUGCGGUAGUUGAACUGUUAAAAGGAAGUGAUUAUAAGUUUUUUGAAAGUUUUGAAGUCAAACAUGUUUUUAAAAUGAAAAACGCACACCAGUUUCAGAAGUCUAAUUACUAUGAUGCUUAAGUGGAACGAAUUUAGGCAUAAGAAUGGAUUACUCCGAUUUGAAACUUUUUUUUCUUUGUACCGAAAGGUUUGUUUGUAUGCUGUAUUUGAAAUUUAUGCUCUAGGAUAGGUCCCUUGAUUUUCAUUGAAGACUAGAUUUCUAUUUUUUGUCAUGGGCAGGUUAAAUUGUGGUGUAACUCUCCGUUUUGGCCUGAUGAUGGUAUGUGCCGUUUGUGGGAUUGUAGUGUUUGAAUGUCCAGAAGGUGAAUUCCCUGAAUCAUUUAAGAAGCCCUUGCAUUACAGCCUUCCAUCAGAUGACCUUAAGUGCCAAGAAGGAAAACCAGAGGCCACUGUUGACCACACGCUAGAUAGUAAAGCUUUUAGAGGUUGGACAGAAACAUAUAACCUCUGGACAUAUGAUGAUGAGACUGAUAAUUUGAGCAGCAUGGUGGUGUUUUUCAAUCAUUGAACAAUUUCAUAUAUGACAUAUGUGAACCUUCAACUGAACCUGGAGCGUUGCACUGGUUAUGCUGGUCCAUUAGCUAGAAGGAUAUGGGAUGCUGUCUACUCGGACAACUGUCCCAAAUGUUUGGGACAGCAUGAGCAAUAAUAUGCAAUCGAGGAACUCACUUCAUCAAUAAAGUGAUUGACGCCCUAACUCAGCAGAUUGCCACUACUUACCAUCCGCAAACGAACAGGCAAGCUGAAGUGUCAAACCGCAAGAUUAAAAUUAUUCUCGAAAAAAUUGUGAAGCCAGAUCGGAAGAAUUUGAGCCUGAAGCUUUCCGACGCAUUAUGGGCUUAUCGGACUGCGUAUAAAGGUCCUUUAGGAUGUCACUGUAUCGACUUGUUUUUGGAAUGUUGAAAUAAAAAUGGCUCAGACCUUAUAAAGUGACCGAAAUUUUUUCACAUGGCAUAGUGGAAAUUGAAGACGAAACGAGCCAUCGAUUUAAAGUAAAUGGUACCCCGUUGUUUAAUCUUGAAAUUUAGAUGAGAGGAAAUCGAGAGUCAUCCGAACCGAUAGUGAAGAACCAACAAAAAAUUGAACCCCGAGGCGUGAAGAAUGCGUGCGGCAGCAACUAAUUUUUUUAAUUUGGAGCAACAAAUUGAGCACAAAGGAAGCAAUGAAUUAUCGGGCAAGGCUUGGAGCUUUCACCCAAUUUUAUGAAACUCACCAUUUGAUUAAAAUUGGGCGCGCAUUAGCAAGGAAUUAUGAGGCCGAGCACUUUAGCUAAACCCUAUUCCCAAUUUCACUUUACUUUGUCGCCUACCCCACGUAAUUUCACUGCACUUCGUCGAUCGAUUUUCCCUUUCCCAGUACCCCACACCACCGCUACUCUUUUAUUCCCCGUUUCUCUCUCAAUUUUCAACAAUGUCGCGGCUGUCAUUAAAUCGGGAGUAUUCCUUUUCCCUCUCCUUUACAUUUUUAUUUUGAAUAUCGUUUUUGGACAAAACAACUUAAGUGGGGGAGGAUAGCAUGUUAGAUUUUUUGCUCUCUUGUUGCAUGCUUGAAAUUAAAUAUUUUGAUAUUGAUAUGCUU